GCAUUGUAAAGGCCUAUUAUGUAACGAUGUAGCGUGUAUACAGGCAACGUGGAGGAAAUACUUUCAUAACUAUAUGAUAUAGCUAAUGGAAAGUUAUUUCAAAAUGUCACAAAUUACAACUUUGAUGGUGAUAACAGUUUAUAUACAAAUGGUGCCAGGCAUUAUAAAUGAUAUAGUCCCAGUGAGGGUUCAAAAGGGAGAAAAAGUUAUCUUGAAUUGUUGCGGCUCUGGAGAUUCAAGAACCUGGUUAGGACCAGAUGUCAACAACGCAACUAAAGAAAAUGUACCUUACUUUUUAAAUAAUAAAAAAAACCGGAAACUGAACCAGUCCAAGUACUUUGUUCAGAAAAAUGACAGAAACUAUGAUUUGAUUAUUUUCGAUUUUCAAAACGAAAAUACUGGUUUUUAUGUAUGCAGAUUUUUGAAUAAUGGAGGAUUUCAUGAGACUAAGUUUAAUGUCUCUUUGAUAGGUUAGUUUACCAUAUUUUAUCUAGAAUAUUCACGAUGA